rnacentral:sRNA from 1 species
ACCUAGCCUUGAUUGCAGUGAAAAUGCAGCAGUAAGAAAAUAAUAUUGUUUUCUUUCUUGAAAGAGCAACCAGCGGAAGCUCCUUUCAAGGAAUUGAAAACAAAUUAUUUUCCUGCUGAAUUGAAACGAAAAGCAAGAAAAAGC